GGGGGUAUAGUUUAGUAUGGUAAAACUGCAACUUUGCAAGUUGUUGUCUCAGGUUCGAAUCCUGAUAUCUCCA